CCUAAAGUAAUAACAAGAAAGAAACGUUUGCUGAUGGGGAAACCACAGUUUUGGUCCCAGAGGCGUUUUCAGAGACAUAUAUCCAAAAUGACUAAGAUAUGGCCCAAAGUUCUGGUGGCAAAUCAGGCACAGAGAAUCAGAAAAUCCCCAGAACCAAGAUCAGAAAGGGUAGGGUUGCAUAUGUUUCUUGGGGAAGGCCCAUAUUAUUAGAUCAGAGCUGCAACCUGACUGCCUUGCUUUCAUAUGGUUACUCUAAUCCAGAGUUCCGUAGGCGUGAAGGUUUUAUGCAAACACACAGGCGUGCUCUAAAGCAGGGGUAGGGAACCAUAGGCCCUUUAUGACUUUUGGACUUGUGUCCCAGAAUUCCUGACACAGCAAGGGCCAUAGUUCCCCACCCCUGCUCUAAAACCUUUCCUUCUCAUAGAAGACGGGGCCUGUAUUCUACCAGGCUCAUGCAUCUAGAAUGCUGAUUAUGCAAUAAACAGAGCUAUUAAGAAACUGAAGGAAUCCUAUCAUUGGUGUGCAACCACCCCAAAUGAAAGACCGUGGAAAUAUCUACCCCAGCCACACAAAAUCAGCUGAGCAAAACACUGCAAGUGAAUAUGUUUAAUAACACAACAUUGGAUUUGGAGCAAUCAAUGCAAGUGACAGUUUGAUGGAAGAGAAAUGAAGAACAGAUUUUGAUGAUUUGGAGAAAACUAUGCCCAAUGGAAACAAGAAAUGGCUCUAAGGUUUUGUUAAUUGAUUUAAAUUAAAACGGAUGUUCACUCUGCUAAAGAGCAUGUGAGGUACUGUAUCUCUUUCCUUUAUACUCCAAGCAUUUAAGCACACAGUUAGAUGAAAUAUGAGAUCAUUCAUCCAAAUUAUUGAAUAGAUUUGAUUUCAUACACUGAUCCUCAUAUUUGACAGAAUAUCAAGUACAAAGACGAUUUGGUUGGUAACACAAUUUUCUCUAGUAGUUGGUAAAAAAAAACCCACAUAAAUCAGUUUAGAUGUGUAGAUCCUAGGGUAGUGUAGAUCUGCCAAUUGGAUAUGAGUCUUGAACUCUCCACCUGAGACAUAUCUUUAUGGGUUUCAGAUGAGGUAGAUCAUCUCCACAAAGACAGACGUGGAGGGUUGUCUAAUGUCAUGCAGAUGAAGUAAAAAGCUUGUUCCAUCUCUACUACUACUAAUUAUCUCACAAUGGAACAAAUGGCCUGCGGAAAACAUUUUAUUUGGGUCACUUCUGUAAAGCAUUAUGGAUCAUUUUUGUAAACCACGGUGGAAAUAUUUUUAACUUCUAUCCAGGUCAGCUACUAUUGCAAGGAAAAUGACUAAUACAUUCUCAAAUCAAAAUAUAAGGCUAAGUCACCUUGGUAACUAUGCCUGCUCAUAAGGAAUGGUUAUAAAGUCGGUGAGAAUUUUGCACCUUGAAAAUAUGCCUUUCUUAGUAUUCUGCUUAGGUAGGAAACUAUAUUCCAAAGGGUUAUAUGUCCGAAUAAUUUUGGUCCCAACCAAAUCUGGGAAAUGACUGUAUUAUCCCAGAUUGUCAUUACCAUUAAAUCCUUGAUUUUAAUGAAUCAAGUUCUAACAUUUAGAUCAAUUGUUGCAUUAUGAAAUGCUUUAGUUUAGACCCCAUUCAAUGUGCCUGGAAGGCAGUACAAUUUUAAACCUUGUAUUUUAAAACAUACAUUAACGACAAUUUAGAAGUUUGUCCUAAUUGGGAGAAAAACCAGCAGAAUUUCAAAGUACUAUUUUGGCAAUCCGUCUUCUACAUAUCAGCAUGCAGAUCAGAUGAGGGAGGAGUACUUCAUCUUCUAUCAAACAUGAGAGUCAAAUCAUAUACUUGUAUUUGUUAAGAUACAGAAAACAGAUUUUUU